rnacentral:rRNA from 1 species
AUUGAACGCUGGCGGCAUGCUUUACACAUGCAAGUCGAGCGGCAGCGCGGGGGCAACCCUGGCGGCGAGCGGCGAACGGGUGAGUAAUGCAUCGGAACGUAUCCUCGAGUGGGGGAUAACCCAGCGAAAGUUGGGCUAAUACCGCAUGAGCUCUGAGGAGGAAAGCGGGGGACCUGCGAGGGCCUCGCGCUGGAGGAGCGGCCGAUGUCCGAUUAGCUAGUUGGUGGGGUAAAGGCUUACCAAGGCGACGAUCGGUAGCUGGUCUGAGAGGAUGAUCAGCCACACUGGGACUGAGACACGGCCCAGACUCCUACGGGAGGCAGCAGUGGGGAAUUUUGGACAAUGGGGGCAACCCUAUCCAGCCAUGCCGCGUGAGUGAAGAAGGCCUUCGGGUUGUAAAGCUCUUUCGGACGGAACGAAAUGGGCGGGACUAAUACUCCUGUCUGAUGACGGUACCGUAAGAAGAAGCACCGGCUAACUACGUG